rnacentral:lncRNA from 1 species
AGGGACUCAGGGUUUUUUUCUUAGAAUUUGAAAGGUCACAUUUCUCUUCUCCAUCCUCUCUUAGUAUCUGAUGCCGUGGUGAUGGACACGCCCCAUUCAGAAGAAAGGAUGCUCUUACAGUGGAGUUGAGCAUCAAGAGCCCAAGCACAGUUCCAGCUACAGCUUCAGUGAGUACGACAGGUGGCAUCAGGGAGGAGUGCCCUGGGUCCUGACCACAGCUUUUGGGACCUGCUCACCAUCAUGCAGCAACUCUACAAUCUGCCGACUGAGGUCACUAUCUGUUUUAGCCGUCAGACCUCGGGGGACCACUGCCAAAUGAAACCAGCUAGAACCACAGCCCCCAAACCCAGGACAGUCUGUCCAUGUUCCCCAUUCAUUUCUAAAGGUGAGAAAAAAGAGGUGAAGCUGUGAUGGGUGCUCAGUUCUGGUCCCUGGGUCUACUAUAUCAUCCUGACCAACAGGCCCUUUAGUAAAGAAGGUGAGUCCGUCUAUGUCCUUACGGUCAGCUUCCUGACAGCUACCCUGAGUUCCUCCUUGUUCCCCUGCUGGGCCCCCAAGCCACACUCUGCCCCGGUUCCAG